rnacentral:rRNA from 1 species
AAUGAACGUUGGCAGCGUGGAUUAGGCAUGCAAGUCGAGCGACAAGGUUCCUUCGGGGACUGGAGGAGCGGCAAACGGGGUAGUAAGGCAUCGGAACGUACCCUCUUGUCCGGGAUAGCUACGGGAAACUGUAAUUAAUACCGGAUAAACUCUACGGAGCAAAGGUCCGCCGCGGGAGGAGCGGCCGAUGUGAUAUCAGGUAGUUGGCGGGUAACGGCCCACCAAGCCUUAGACGUCUAGGGGAUGUGAGAGCAUGGAAUCCCCACCACUGGGACUGAGAUACUGCCCAGACACCUACGGGAGGCAG